AUUACAGGUUAUUCUCGCAUCAGAGUUUUUUGAGAUCCCUCUUACAUCUCAGCAUUAUUCAUGAGACUACAAAGUUCUUGUCUGCCAUGUGCAUUCAUUCAUGUUCAAAGCUUGCUAAGGAAUGCUACUUGGUUUCAUGUCCAAGAAAAUACUGCCGUAGGAUCAUUUGCUUUUUGUACUGACAAAGAGGCAAAACGUACCCUGUGACAUCAGGUCAGUUCAGUCGUUGGAGCCCUUGGAGAUUACAGCAUCUUCUUCCAUGCUCUUGGUGCCCUCCCUUUGGAGUUGCUAUGAGUGGGGAACAACCUACUGUUUUGGGAACACAGAGGCUGAGAGGUUCUUAACUGCUCUCUCAAUUAUUAAUUGGCUCUCUUGCCAAUGUAGAACUCUGUUUAAAUUGGUGUGCUUAUAAAAUAUGAGAUUACUUUAGGCCAGGUAAAUAUUUACUAAGCUGACAUAAAUAAAUAAAUAAAAACACUCUGUAUAAUUUA